UCUUCUGGAGCCUGCAGCAUGGGGCCCCUGCCGCGCACCGUGGAGCUCUUCUAUGACGUGCUGUCCCCCUACUCCUGGCUGGGCUUCGAGAUCCUGUGCCGGUAUCAAAAUAUCUGGAACAUCAACCUGCAGUUGCGGCCCAGCCUCAUAACAGGAAUCAUGAAAGACAGUGGUAGGAAGGGAGGGUCGGGGCAGGGGUGAUUUCAGUGGCCCAAGAGAGCCGACCCCAGCGGGUCCUUAUAUUGGCACUGGCAGCUAGAAAGCUGCCCUCUGCCCCGACUCUACUAAAAAUACAAAAUUAGCUGGGCGUGGUGGUGCAUGCCUGUAAACCACAGCUACUCGGGAGGCUGAGGCGGGAGAAUCGCUUGAACCCAGGAGGCGGAGGUUGCGGUAAGCUGAGAUCGCGCCAUUGCACUCCAGCCUGGGCAACAAGAGCGAAACAACAAGAGAAAAAAAAGAAAGCUGCCCUCUGCCCAAAACCCACGUCGAGGUCCCCAAACCUGGGACCCUUAGGUCUUUUCUCACUUAGCGUGCCCAACCUUCUCCUGGCAGGAAACAAGCCUCCGGGUCUGCUUCCCCGCAAAGGACAAUACAUGGCAAAUGACUUAAAGCUCCUGAGACACCAUCUCCAGAUUCCCAUCCAUUUCCCCAAGGAUUUCUUGUCUGUGAUGCUUGAAAAAGGUGAAGAGAGUGGGAUGUAGACAGGGUAUCCAGUGAAGAACAGAGAAGUCGGAGAUUGAGGGAUUGAUGGGAUGGAGGGGCUGCGGGAGACUAAAGCAAGUGAAGCCUGCCUUGGGAAACCUCAGGAUCAGCGUUGAGGGAGCUGAAGGUUGCCGGGCAUGAAAGGGAAGAAGAGCAGGCAAAUAGGUCAUGGG
rnacentral:sRNA from 1 species